rnacentral:rRNA from 1 species
AGAACGAACGCUGGCGGCAUGCCUAACACAUGCAAGUCGAACGUGAUCCAGGCUUCGGCCUGGUGAAAGUGGCAGACGGGUGAGUAACGCGUGGGAACCUGCCCUGUGGUAGGGAAUAACCGUGGGAAACUGCGGCUAAUACCCUAUGAGUCCUUCGGGAGAAAGAUUUAUCGCCAUAGGAGGGGCCCGCGUCGGAUUAGGUAGUUGGUGGGGUAACGGCCUACCAAGCCUUCGAUCCGUAGCUGGUCUGAGAGGAUGAUCAGCCACACUGGGACUGAGAUACGGCCCAGACUCCUACGGGAGGCAGCAGUGGGGAAUAUUGGACAAUGGGGGGCAACCCUGAUCCAGCAAUGCCGCGUGGAUGAUGAAGGCCUUCGGGUUGUAAAGUCCUUUCGGCGGGGAAGAUGAUGACGGUACCCGCAGAAGAAGCCCCGGCUAACUUCGCGCCAGCAGCCGC